GGCAUUAAAAUACGAAAAAAGAAGAGGCUCCCAAAGUAAAAUGAUAUAAAAACGUUUUCAUUGCUACACUACUGGGUCUUCAUAAAAACAUCAAAUGCUACACGCAAACACAAACUGGCUUUUAAAGCUGAGAGAUAUAGGAUCCACCUCCAGGCUGUUUCCUCCAGGGGGCGCAGGGUUUUACAAACACUGGAUUAGCCUCUGGCCAAUGGAUUAUUCAGACAGCUACUAAAAAAAGCUCCCCACUCAGAGCUCCACUCGCACAGUGAAAGUGAACCACCCUCGGUGUGGAGCUCAGCUGCCUGUUGCUUGCCAUGGCUGCCUUUCAUCGACUCCUUCUCCUGCUGUCUGUGGCCGUGGCCUCCGGCGCGGCACGCAGGUCCCAGCGGACAAAGCGAGGGUUACUGGAGCUGGCAGGAGCCAUCAAAUGCAGCACGGGCAGGUCCGCCCUGGCUUACAUGGUGUAUGGAUGCUACUGCGGGCUGGGUGGACAGGGCUGGCCCCGAGACCGGGCCGACUGGUGUUGCCACAGACACGACUGCUGCUACGGAGACGCGGAGUAUUUGGGCUGUCAAACCAAAACCGGCCGCUACCAGUGGACGUGUGAGGACAGGACGGCCGAAUGCGACGAUUUGAAGGACAGGUGUGAAAAACUGCUGUGCAAGUGUGACCGAGAGGCUGCCAAGUGCUUGAGAAAAGCCCCUUUCAUCCAGAAACCUCGUGGAGUCACUAGAGCGGUUCCUGCUACCAGAUUGUGAGGAAUCUCCACACAGCCCUCAUCUGUUCAGCUUCAAUCCAAAGCGUCAAAGCACACACUGCACCUUCUGCUGCAACAAUGUUGUGACUGGUAACGUCUCAAAAGUAACUAAACUUUUCCUGCAAGUGCAAGUGCAACCUAGUGCACGUGGAUGCGUGUUCUGCCAUACAUCUUGUUUGAGUACAGUGAGAUUAUCUACAUGCAAGGCUGAGUAAAUCGCACAAGCUCAGCUCAGUAUUCAUGUAUUCAUUUCCCCACUGCGGGACUAUUAAAGGUUUUCUUAUUCUUAGUCUUUCUUAUGUAGAUAAAUUCAACAAUAAUAAUAAUAAUGUGUUUAUCGUAAGCACACAGACCAGAAACUCAGCCUCACUGUAACGCCGAUGGGCAGAGACAGGGUGAAAUAAGAACAGAGGACACUUAUUCUGAAGCUGGUUUAUUUUACUUUUUCUCUGAAAAGAACAAGCAAAGUUAAACAAAUAACAAGAAAUAAACAAAACAUCUUCAAUGUGUUGGCAAGGUACAGUAUUACUUUAAUGCCUUUUUGGAUACAUGUUUUUUUUAAUCACUGAGAAUGAAAUCUAACACGUUACCAUGGAAACAGACUCCUGGCUGCAAUAGCUUAGCUUACUGCUGGAUCACAAUGGACUAGACAAUAUGACCUGUUUCACUGAUGGGGUAAAGAUAAUCAAAAAAUUUAUCUAAAACUAAAUAAAUCAUACAAAAUAAUAUUUAGUCAGAGUCUAAACACAGAUUUGUGCAAUGUUUGUGUGUGUAAUGUUUAAAGCUACUCAUUGUUGCACUAAAUGUAUCAUCUUACACCCAUUACAUCUGCUGCUCCACUGCUCAUGUACUGUGGAUGUUGCUGACAGAGGUUUUCCCACGCCACUGCAGCAGCUUCCAAUUGUUGCCUUCCAUUCAUCAUGUGUGGGUUUUACAAAGGGAAACUUCAGCAGAUGGAACCUGUUGAUGCGAUGGAAGCAAGAACCAGACAUGAAUAACUGAUCGUGCAACAUGAAGUGUAACCGUGGAAACUGCUGUUCUGACAAAGUUUGUUUACCUUUAGUCUGCUGGUCUUCAAAUUAAAAGAUAAAGAUACACAGAUACAAAAACAAUAAACACACUAGUUCAUUGCUUAGAUUGCAUUUACAUUCUGCUCUUGCUGAUCGUAUUCACUGUAAAUUGCAAGAU